GAUCUAGCAACCAAAACAAAAAAUUUCGUCUUUGGUUCUUUUGGUCACUGGCUGAAGCCUUCAACCUUCGUCGUCUACUGCCUGAAGCCUUCAACCUUCUUCGUCACUGGCUCACCGUCUUUCACCUUCUUUGUCGCUGGCUCACCGACUAUCACCUUCUUCCCACUGUCAAGCUCUUAUAAUUUCUCUCACCUCGAUCUCAAUCUCACUCUAACAAGAUCUCAAUCUCACUCUCCGCUACCGCUUCUAACACACAUCGCCUUUCCUUAUUGCUCCGUCACAAGAAGGUAUUCUCCUUCUCUCCCCGUCGAUUUGAGUUUUGCUAUGUUUGAUCAAUUUUCUAUAUGUAAUUAAUAGUUCUAUUUUUACUGAUUUUGAAAUUGUACUUCGAAUCAAAAAACAAGCAUACAAUUUUUGUUGCAAAACUUUGCUUCUUGUUGUUGCAUACAAUCUGAGGAAGGACUUGGUGCAGCGUGGAAAAUAUGAGUGUUUGCUAAACACCAUGGAAGCAUGUGUCAUUGAUGCCUGGCCUCAGUUGUAUUGCAUAGUUUGAAGGAGAGUUUUGAUGAUGCUUCACGGAAAGAUGGUGGUAAGGCUAUUGUUGUCACAGGUAAAAGAGCUCCCAACUAAGGCAGAGAUGAUUGCUUGGUCAGAGAAGCUGGAAUUGAGAUGUUUAGAUAUGGAGAUCACAUCAUGGGAAUCCAAGGCCAUCCUAAAUACUCUAAAGGCAUUCUGUUGCACCUUAUUGAUUUCCUUCUUAAAAAAGAUUACAUUAUGGAUACUUUGGCUGUGGAAGCAAGGGAGAAAGGUUGCACUUUAGGAGCCAAAUAAGGAGGCAUGGAAGAGGGUCUGUCUUAGUUUUCUCAAGGAUUUUUUUACUUUAUGUAAAUAGAAUUUUUUUCUUUACUUGCUUUUUGCAUUCAUUUGGGGCCAUUGACUAUAAAGCCAUCAAUAUACAUUUGGAUUAUGGAUCAUAAAUUUGAUAUAUUUAUGAAUUUUGUCUCUUUUAAUUUC